rnacentral:rRNA from 1 species
CCAAUAGCGUAUAUUAAAGUUGUUGCAGUUAAAAAGCUCGUAGUUGAAUUUCGGGAUUGACGUGAUGGUCAUGCCUUAAGGGGUAUGAACUGUCACUGUUGAUUUCUCACCUUCUGGAGAAACUUGAUGUCCUUUAUUGGGUGUCUUGCGGAUCCAGGACCUUUACCUUGAAAAAAUUAGAGUGUUUAAAGCAGGCAUUUUUUGCUCGAAUACAUUAGCAUGGAAUAAUAGAAUAGGACGGCAUGGUUCUAUUUUGUUGGUUUCUAGGAUCACCGUAAUGAUUAAUAGGGAUAGUUGGGGGCAUUAGUAUUCAAUUGUCAGAGGUGAAAUUCUUGGAUUUAUUGAAGACUAACUACUGCGAAAGCAUUUGCCAAGGAUGUUUUCAUUAAUCAAGAACGAAAGUUAGGGGAUCGAAGACGAUCAGAUACCGUCGUAGUCUUAACCAUAAACUAUGCCGACUAGGAAUCAGACGAUGUUAAUUUUUUAAUGACUCGUUUGGCACCUUACG